rnacentral:rRNA from 1 species
UACGAAGGGGGCUAGCGUUGCUCGGAAUCACUGGGCGUAAAGGGUGCGUAGGCGGGUCUUUAAGUCAGGGGUGAAAUCCUGGAGCUCAACUCCAGAACUGCCUUUGAUACUGAAGAUCUUGAGUUCAGGAGAGGUGAGUGGAACUGCGAGUGUAGAGGUGAAAUUCGUAGAUAUUAGGAAGAACACCGGUGGCGAAGGCGGCCAUCUGGCUCGGUACUGACGCUCAGGCGCGAAAGCGUGGGGAGCAAACAGG